UACGAAGGGGGCAAGCGUUGUUCGGAAUUACUGGGCGUAAAGGGCGCGCAGGCGGCCAUUCAAGUCAGAUGUGAAAGCCCCGGGCUCAACCUGGGAAUAGCAUUUGGGACUGGACGGCUAGAGAUCGGGAGAGGAGAGUGGAAUUCCCAGUGUAGAGGUGAAAUUCGUAGAUAUUGGGAAGAACACCAGUGGCGAAGGCGGCUCUCUGGACCGAUACUGGCGCUGAGGCGCGAAAGCGUGGGGAG
rnacentral:rRNA from 1 species